rnacentral:lncRNA from 1 species
CCUCCCGCCCAGACCCGCCCCGCCUCCCGCCCAGGCCCGCCCCGCCUCCCGCCCAGGCCCGCCCCGCCUCUUCAGCACUAGCCUCGGUCCCGCCUCUUCCGCUAGGAGUUCCCGCCUCUCGGCCGCGCCUGGUCGGGGGGCGGGGCAUCGGCCAGCCGUGACGUCACUGCCGGCUGGACGCCAUCUUGCUGGUUUGCGGCCGGUGUUGGAUGUGGCGGCAGUGGUGGUGAGGGCGUGGGGAAGGGUGGGGUGAGGGGGCGAGGCCGCGGCGGGGGCGGCGAAAGUCUCCUCCGCUCAGCCCCACCGCGUGGGACGGCGCAAACGCGGUGCCGGAGGGAUGUCCGCUUUCUCCGAGGCGGCGCUGGAGAAGAAGCUGUCGGAGUUGAGCAACUCGCAGCAGAGCGUGCAGACCUUGUCCCUGUGGCUCAUCCACCAUCGCAAGCACUCGCGACCCAUCGUCACCGUGUGGGAGCGGGAGCUGCGGAAAGUGAAACUGAUGAAAGUUGUAAGAAGCACCUUGGAAGAGUGCUGUCUAUUUGGGAAGAAAGGUCUGUGUAUGAAAAUGAUGUAUUAGAACAACUUAAGCAAGCUCUGUAUGGUGACAAGAAGCCCAGGAAGCGAACGUAUGAGCAGAUAAAGGUGGAUGAGAAUGAAAACUGUUCCUCUCUAGGAUCUCCAAGUGAACCACCACAGACUCUAGAUCUCGUUAGAGCAUUGCAAGAUCUAGAAAAUGCAGCUUCUGGUGAUGCAGCAGUUCAUCAAAGGAUAGCUUCUUUGCCUGUUGAAGUUCAAGAAGUGUCCCUUCUAGAUAAAAUAACAGAUAAAGAGUCUGGAGAAAGACUUUCUAAAAUGGUAGAGGAUGCUUGUAUGUUGCUGGCAGACUACAACGGCAGAUUGGCGGCUGAAAUAGAUGAUAGGAAGCAGCUCACUCGAAUGUUAGCAGAUUUUCUUCGUUGUCAAAAGGAAGCCCUUGCAGAGAAAGAGCAUAAAUUGGAAGUAUUGGACAUGGGCGUAUCUUCUAAUGAUGUCAUCAACCUUAGCAUAUUCUUCCUGCUAAAAAUAAAUAUCAAACUCCAAAGCCUGAAUUGUCUCAUGUUUUUGAAAACUGAAGACUGA